rnacentral:rRNA from 1 species
AUUGAACGCUGGCGGCAUGCCUUACACAUGCAAGUCGAACGGCAGCACGGGGGCAACCCUGGUGGCGAGUGGCGAACGGGUGAGUAAUGCAUCGGAACGUGUCCUCUUGUGGGGGAUAACCAGUCGAAAGAUUGGCUAAUACCGCAUGAGAUCGAGAGAUGAAAGCGGGGGACCCGAGGGUAACUUCGGGCCUCGCGCGAGAGGAGCGGCCGAUGCCGGAUUAGCUAGUUGGUGGGGUAAGAGCCUACCAAGGCGACGAUCCGUAGCUGGUCUGAGAGGACGACCAGCCACACUGGGACUGAGACACGGCCCAGACUCCUACGGGAGGCAGCAGUGGGGAAUUUUGGACAAUGGGCGCAAGCCUGAUCCAGCCAUGCCGCGUGUGUGAAGAAGGCC